UUUCAGCUGUAAGAAGCAUCAAUACAAACCCACAGGCUCGUUUCACACAUUUGCCUGAUGCAGAUAGAAUGCUUUGUAUAAUACAUGUUAUGGUUUUAGCUAGUUUCUGUCUUGAAUCCAAGUGUUUUGUAAAAACUCAUCAACAUCCCUCAGCUACUGUCCUGCUAGCUAGCGACUAGCUGAUCUCUUGAGGGCUACACCACUGUGUCUCUCACUGAAUCUCUUCUGUGAUUGAACAAUUCAUAUAUGUGUCAAUUGCUAAAGGCAAACCUGUCAGUUGCUUAGACUUGCAAGAAAUAAUGUUUUUCUUUUAUAGAACUAGAUGUAUAUUUAAACUAUUAUGCCUUUUCUAUUUUUAUAUAGGUUUUAUACUUCCCCUGUGUGUUGGGGAACUAUUUAUUGCCUAAAUUAUUUAUCUGAAUUGAAAUUAUUUUGAAAGACAAAUUUCCAACAACUCCAUUUGAUCUCCUGAUGUGUGUCCUGCCUGUUUUGGUGAUAUAUAUUACGUGUCUGUGUGGCAUGGCUGUGUGUGUAGGAUCCAUCAUAGAACCCUACCUGUCAUACAUGCCUUCAUUUGAAUAAAUCACUCAUUUUUCAAAAACACAGGGAGCAUAGUUUAUUCUAGAAGUCAAUUUCAAAAUGUGUCUGUUGGUCCUGUCUUUCUAUGUGAAUACAUAGUGACCUUAUGUGCUGCCCUGGGCAUAUAUCUAGUACUAGAACUAGUUUUAAAACUGAUCCCAAGUCCGAAUCCAAAGAUUGAGUCAGAGUACGCCCAUGUGUGAUGAUGCAGGUAUGAAUCUGUCCCUGCUCCAGGGGCAUUUACACUAAAAUCACCCUGUUGUGUGUAGUAUUGUCCCAUUCACUCACUUUCAUGUCAACACUGGAAUGAUCUUGGUAUAUAUGUAUAUCAAAGCAUGUUUGCUAUUGCACAAAAAUCAAGAUUAUGUAUCAGGGACUGUGUUGUGAUUUAAGGUGUGUGUGUGUGUGUGUGUGUGUGUGUGUGUGUGUGUGUGUGUUUUGGCAGACUUGUUUACUUUUUACUUCAGGCAUUACUUUCUGAAGUAAAAAUGAAUGUGUCAAUAGGGGGAAAUGUUUGGGUCUUUGUAAAUUAUAGUGUGGUCUAGACCUACUCUAUCUGUAAAAAGUCCUGAGAUAACCUUUGUUGUGAUUUGACACUAUAAAUAAAAUUUAAUUAAAUUACUAGUGUUGAGGUUAUAAUGAGUUGCUUAUAAACCAUUCCUGGGCUAUGGCAAGCCAUUUUAACAUUUAAUAUGUAGGCUGGAUGAAUCAAAGUUGUAGAUAUCUUAAUACACAAUUUCUACUAGUUAGAAUGUUAUUGUGAAUAUCUUUCAUUACUGUUCUGACUAGAGAAAGUAUAAUUUGAACUGAGACAAUUGCUAUUAUAGCUAUCUAAAAUGUUAUUACAGAUAGGAGUGUGCUUCGAUUAAAUGUUAAAGUGGCUUUUCAUACUGGCCUGAACACUAUCUGCUGUUAAUCACUACACAGUGUUAUAACGGUUGUUACGUUGACAUGCAUUAUUACAUUUGUCAAUGUAACCUUUGAAGUUUGUUAUGUGUUGAUGUAAUACAUCAACAAAAAACAGCCAUUUGAGGCCACCUUCCUGUUGGUACCUUUUUAUAAGUUAAUGAGAAUCACCUAACUAACUUUCAGUUUUUUUAGUUUUACUUAGGACAUGUCCUUCUACUCACUCCAUAGGUUACAACUUGGCCAGGGACAGUUCCCGUUUCUUUUCUGUGGGCUGGACCUUGUUUCAUUUUUACUGUUAGUUACACUGGCUGCAUGUCUUGAAAAUAAGACAUGUUUUGAAAGCCCAAGUCAAAAAAUGAAAAACAAAAAAUUCUACGAAAAGACCAAAACCAACAAUGUGUUAGUCUGUCUCUUAAUACUCUGUCUAAUUGUGGCUCUCAGCCCAUCGGUUCCUACUGAAGAUGUACUAUACGUCAUAAAAAAGGGCCCCCAAACAUUUAAUUUAAUUUAUAAUAGGUCUACCAUUUCCUUAAACAACUGACCACUGUAGUUUUUUAUAAAAAAUUAAAAAAAAUAGGUGGAAAUAAGCACUUGUCAGGGACUAUUUUCAGUGGCGGAUAAAUCCAUAUUUGGUCUACAGUAGUGAGUAUUCGUUGCAGCAAGACUGUGUGAUAAAUAAAAAUAAAGUACUGUAUGUGUGUGUUUUCAUGGUGAUGAAGGAACAUGUCACCCAGUGAUGUAGGGUGCUCAUUGAUGGGUUUUAUGAUAUACCAGGCUAUGAUACACAUAAUACUUGUCAGAGGAUCUGGUCAUUGUUGCUUUGAAUCUGCACAUGGGAUUUGUUGACUACAGUAUAGAGAAUAUCACCAGACUUGUUCUUUCAUUUGUGGGUAAAACAAGAGGCAAAACAUCAUGUGUAAAUAGAAAGUAAUUCUUAAUUUUAAUCAUGUAUACUUUAGAUUUUACUGGCCAUUUUCAAAUGCAUGAUGUGUAGUUUCAGGGGUUCUAGGCAGCCAUUGAUUUGUAUCAGGUGUGCAUUCCUCUUUGUUGUCAAAGUUGCAUUUCUAUUGUGCAGUCAAGCAAUGCAGAUUUAUCAAAUCAAUCUCCAGUAUUAAUGCAAACCUAUACUGGUAUGGUACUUUAAAUACCUUUUUUGAAAAUAAUUUUCCAAAUCCAUUGACAGUAUGGAACAUUUUACUUUUAUACUAUGUUUUUUAAAUGUAUAUUCAAGUGCAAGUUAACACUUGAUAAUUGAUAAGAACAGAUCAGUACAACAAAGUCACAACUCCAUGAUGAGCUGUGUGUAGAGCUGCUGUUCCAGACCUCUAUGUGCCCUGCAUGUUGUCACUCACUCUGUGCUGCUGCCAUUUUAUUCAGGCUGCUAUGUGUAUGUGUUGCUUUUGUUGUCAUCCACCUCAGGUCUUGGUAGCAUGUGGCUCGUCCUCACUCUGUCCCUGACUGACUGUUGAGUGUUUAGACAGUAACAUACAGAUGAUCAUUCUUGGUUUCUCUACUCUCUCCUGUGUGUUCCAUUGCAGUUUAACCUAGGUUUGUCUCCCUGUUGUGUUUUUCUUUUUGUUUUGUUUUCUAGAUCUCUUCCUGUAUGCCCUAGCAUGUUGAUGUGGCGUCACAGUUCAUCGUCCAGUCCUUGUCUUCUGCGCUUCUCUGAUGCUUCCAAUUUCACCACUGACCUUAUGUUUGGCAGUAAUUAACGAGAGUUUUUCUUUUUUUGUUUCCUAUAUGUCGUGCUGCAACAGGGGCACUAGAAAGACUGCCCCUGAACAUGUUGGAAAGUUACAUUACAUGUUAAAGAAUAUAUUUUUCUAGAACUGGCUUACAUAACCAGUGGAUUUUUGCUAAAUCAGUUUGACAAGUCUGACCUUUCCUUAGUUUGGAUCUCCUGUGUUGUGGAGCAGUCCUCCCAGUGCCCCUGUCCUCUGGUGGUGGUGUGUUUUUUUGUGUAAGCAGCAAAUCUGUUGUGUGUGUGUGUGUGUGUUUGUGUGAAUUAGAAACACUUAGUGAUCACAUGUUGUUAGAUAUUAGUAAUUAGGAUAGCUAAGGGUUCAUCUUUGGGAGUUUCCAUUUAAGUGAUGUUAUGAGGAGGUAACAUUUAUUGUCAGUGUAAAGCAUCUGUUUUUAUUUUAAGCCUACUGAAUUAGAUGAUGCUGUUCUGCUCCUUUGUGUCAAGAAUCAGACCCACAAACCACAGAGGAGAGACUUUUGUUACAAUGUAUUUAGUAUGCAUGUUUUUUUUGUUUUUUUUAAAUAUAUCUGCACUGAAAUUCUUGGCAAAAUGUAAUCUAGUUUGUGUUAAGUUAAAUGAUGAAUAAACUGGUGCCAAAUGUUUUGCACAAAUCAGCUUUUUCCCCCUUUUAUUGGUCAUACAAGUUGUAGAA